UGAGAACUUGGGCAGAACACGAAAAUGCUUAUUAAAUGAUUUGUAGAGUAGGCUAUUUCUGGGCAAGCCCUGGGGAAGGGGGCUAAUGUGUGGUCAUUUACUACCAAUAUAUCUAUGGAAAAAUAGGAUCACUUUUGUGUUUGGAUCCCCGAAGACAAGAGACAACUCAGAGAACUGAAAUUUUGCCGGGAAGACGAACCAAGGCAGAACAAUGCCAGGUGGCCAAAUGGCAGAACCGGUCCAAACUGGAGAGGUCCAAGAUGGCGAUGGGGUGCCGUGUGCAAAAGGAAACGUGUGCAAAAGAAUGGUUAUCGAUGGUUUUGCAUCGACACAGGGAAGCAGGCCCACAGAGGAGGUGCUUUUCCAGGAUACGCAGCUGAUUAUUGGCAGCCCUGACGAGAAUCCAGGAGGAAUGAUUCUCAGCUUUACCACUUGGCCAGGCUGCUUCAAAGGUCUUGUUUCCUUGAAGGCGUCAACCUUCAAAAGCAGGAAGCAGUUUAAGAGGCAAAGCGUUUAUUUGGGAUCAAAGAAUUGCAAUUUGGGGAGCACAGAUUCAGGGGGAAACCCAAAUAGUCUCUCUCUAGGGAGUAAAAGUCAGGGGCUUUUAAAGGCAAAGAAGGAAGGUUGCAUUAUGGAGAAUUUUAAUUGGAGUUGGAGGCAGAAAGCUAGUCUUAGCUAAACAUUGAUUGACUAUUGAUUCUAUCUUCAGAAAAAGCAAAGUCAUCAGUCUUUGUGGUUGGACGUCUGCUUUCCUGUUAGCAUUAUGAACAAGUGCUUGGAAGGCAACACUGACCCGGUCCAGUCCAAAGCUUCAAGGGGAGGAUGUGCAGGCAGUUCCUCUGAAAUGGCUACUCCGGCUCUUUUUAAAACGGCUCCAAAAGUUAUGUCAACUUUUCACAAAGGGUUGUUAUUUGUUCCAGCUAUGUAAGAGAGUUGUCAGGGAAAGCUAAUUAAUUAAGCAAGAUGUAAAACAAGCUAGGAUCAAGAUGUGUAUAUUUCAGUAAGAAUGAGUGUACCGGAUGCUUUUGGGAAGAGGUGUUAGACAGAGUUUGGGGUGGUGAGCACCUGAGUUUGAGACACCAGAGGACACCCCAAGAGGACAAAGGCGCUGGUAAGAAGGAUGGGCAAGACCUAGAAGAAAAAUAUGGCCCACCGCCGCAGUCAUGCUCCAUCAGCCAGAUGCCGGAGCACAAGCACAGCAAAACAACUGCACGUGUGAAGCAGCUCUAUGUGGUAGACAUUUAUUGAAAACUCAGAG
rnacentral:lncRNA from 1 species